GUCGGUCCUAAGAGAUCUGUUACACCCAGCGGCCUGUUCCCUUUAAAUAGAAUCCACUUGAAAUGGCAAUGGGGUGUAUAUUUCACUCAGGGCAGAUAAACCUUGACAGUUGAGUUAGAGUACUAGAUUUUCUUAGAUGUUUCAGUGAAUUUACAAUGCUGAGUGCACUUGAAACCUAAAAUCAGAGAGAAUGGCACUGCUGCUCUAAUAAGACCUGGGGAAAUCAGUUUAUGCCUAAAGAGAAAAUACGUUGAGCAAACCAAGGAAGGCUCUGGCAUAAACUAGAGCUGGUGACAUGGGACAUCAAACUAAGCUGUGAUUACUUCAUCAGAGAUUACCUUUCUAGAGGAUUCUGAAAAGAUUUGAUAUAAGCUGCAGUUAUGAUUCUAACUGAAGUUAAGUCGUGAGCCUGGGAAGACAUUGAAAAGUUCAAAGGAACCUUGAAUUCUUGUGAAUCACAACUACAAUGCUGGAAUUCAUCUUGAAAAGACAAUGCAUUGUGUGUUUCAUACAUCAUCUAACACAGUGUUUGGGCUCUUAUUACAGGCUACAUGAUACUGAUGUUUAUUUUUGGAAUAGGCUUUCUUCUGAGAGAAGAGUUGCUUGAAAUCAUGCAGAUGUAUUUUAAGAAUGUACUCAAGAGAGGCACCCAAGAAGACAUUUUUGUAUGGAGAUGGCCUAAGAGAUUAAGACUUCAAUCCUUAGCCAAAAAUGGUAUUUAUUCAUGUCUUUAAAGUCCAUAGUGGUAUCUAUGAGUCCGCUUGAUCCAAGUUAGAUUUUAGGAGUGGAAGAGGAUUAAAGCAAGAUCAGGGAAAGAUCAACCUUGGCUGGUAUCUCUGUCUCCACUUCUGCACAG
rnacentral:lncRNA from 12 species